UACGCAGGGGGCUAGCGUUGUUCGGAAUUACUGGGCGUAAAGCGCGCGCAGGCGGCUAUCCAAGUCCGUGGUGAAAGCCCGGAGCUCAACUCCGGAACUGCCAUUGAAACUGUUUAGCUUGAGGACGAGAGAGGUGAGUGGAAUUCCCAGUGUAGAGGUGAAAUUCGUAGAUAUUGGGAAGAACACCGGUGGCGAAGGCGGCUCACUGGCUCGUUUCUGACGCUCAGGCGCGACAGCGUGGGGAUCAAACAGG
rnacentral:rRNA from 1 species